rnacentral:misc_RNA from 1 species
CUGCCCUCAAGCACGGCUUGUGUGUUGGGCCCCGCCCCCCGGUCCCGGGGGGCGGGCCCGAAAGGCAGCGGCGGCACCGCGUCCGGUCCUCGAGCGUAUGGGGCUUAGUCACCCGCUCCGUAGGCCCGGCCGGCGCCCGCCGGCGACCCCCAAUCAAUCUAUCCA